rnacentral:rRNA from 1 species
UACGUAGGGACCAAGCGUUGUUCGGAAUUACUGGGCGUAAAGGGCGCGUAGGCGGCCUGCUAAGUCGAACGUGAAAUCCCCGAGCUCAACUCGGGAACUGCGUCCGAUACUGGCAGGCUUGAAUCCGGGAGAGGGAUGCGGAAUUCCAGGUGUAGCGGUGAAAUGCGUAGAUAUCUGGAGGAACACCGGUGGCGAAGGCGGCAUCCUGGACCGGCAUUGACGCUGAGGCGCGAAAGCCAGGGGAGCAAACGGG